CAAAAACAUCUUUUCUUGUUAGUUUCUGAAGUAUGGCCUGCCCGCUGACGUAUUUUGAGUUGAAGGGCCGCGGUAUUUUGACCGUGCAAAGGUAGCAUAGUCAUUAGUUCUUUAAUUGUGAUCUGGUAUGAAUGGCUUGACGAGACAUAGGCUGUCUUAGUGUGAAUUUAUUGUUGAAUUUGGAGUUUAAGUUAAAAUUCUUAGAUGUUUUUAUGGGACGAGAAGACCCUAUAGAGUUUUACAUUUGAUUGUGCAUUUCUUUUUGUUUGUUUUAGGUUUUUGCGUGUCUUUUGUUUUGUUGGGGUGAUGGGAGGAAUUUAUUUAACUCCUCUUUUUAUGUGAUAUAUUGAUUUAUAUUUGUUUUGAUCCAUUUAUUUUGAUUGUAAGACUAAAUUACCUUAGGGAUAACAGCGUUAUCCUCCCUGAGAGUUCUUAUUGGCGGGGGGGUUUGCGACCUCGAUGUUGGAUUAAGGUUUAUUUUUGGUGUAGGAGCUGAAUUGAUUAGGUCUGUUCGACCUUUAAAAUCUUACGUGAUCU
rnacentral:rRNA from 1 species